rnacentral:rRNA from 1 species
UAAAAGUUUUAUUCUUGCUAUUUAUUUACUUUAUGAUUAUUUUACAUGUAAAAUUUUAAUUUAAUUUAUUCUUAAAGAAUAUUUUAUGUUUAUUAAAUGCAGUAAAAAAUAUUAUUUAUUAAAGAAAUUUAGAAAUAGUAAUUUAUAUAUUUCUGGCUAAACCCGUGCCAGCCGCCGCGGUUAUACGGAAAGUAGAAGUAAAUAUUAUUGGUUUGUAGUUAACAUUGGAGUUAAUUUAUUAAAUUUAUAAUUUUUAGGUGAAAUUUUAAUUUUUUAAUAUUUAUUUUUGGUGAAGCUAUGAAAUUUAUUUUAUAAACAAGGAUUAGAUACCCUUUUAUUUUAAAUGUAAAUAUUUAAUGACCAGGGUAGUAAUUGUUAUGUUCUUCAAACCCAAAGAAUUUGGCGGUGCUUUAGUCCCUUCAGAGGAAUCUGUCCCGUAAUCGACAUCCCACGAUAUAAAUUACUUAUUUUUGUUUUCAGUUUGUAUACCUCCGUCGUAAGAGAAUCUUUUUAGAGUUUAAUUUUCUUAAUAUAUUAAUUAUAUUAUGUCAGGUCAAGGUGCAAUUUAUAAAUAAGUGGAGAUGGAUUACAAUAAAAUUAUUUAAACGGAAUAAAUUAUUUAAUUUUUUAUGAAGGUGGAUUUGAUUGUAAUUUUAACAGUUUGUUACUAUGAUUAUUGGCUCUAAAGUAUGCACACAUCGCCCGUCGCUCUCAUUAUUAAAAUGAGAUAAGUCGUAACAUAGUAGGUGUAUCGGAAGAUGUGCCUAGAAAGUU